rnacentral:rRNA from 1 species
UACGGAGGGUGCAAGCGUUAUCCGGAAUCACUGGGCGUAAAGCGCACGUAGGCGGACUCUUAAGUCGGUGGUGAAAUCCUGGAGCUCAACUCCAGAACUGCCUUCGAUACUGAGAGUCUUGAGUUCGGGAGAGGUGAGUGGAACUGCGAGUGUAGAGGUGAAAUUCGUAGAUAUUCGCAAGAACACCAGUGGCGAAGGCGGCUCACUGGCCCGAUACUGACGCUGAGGUGCGAAAGCGUGGGGAGCAAACAGG